UGCGGAAGUCGCCCCUCUCCACCACGUACAUGCGGCCGCGGUAGUUGGGCUCCUCGUAGAGGACCCACCUGAGAGCCAGGGGAACCGCAGAGCCUUGAGCCACCUUGGAGCUCUUGUGGACAUCCCGAAAGGACGAGGGAGCUGACUGGGCAUGACAGCUAAUUCUCUGGCCCUCACCUGCAGCUCCUGGGGGAAAGCGACAGAGCAAGGGGUCUCCUGAGAGCUGACUCACUGGUUAAGAACACUGGCUGUUCUCCCAGAGGACUCAGGAGGUGGUAAAGGGUCCCUGCUUCACUGCCUGCCAGAUCCCAGAGAGGGCUCCUGGGACCUAAGGCAUCACCACUUGGGAAACCGGACAAGGUUUCAUGUCACAGAAGAAUUAAGGUCACCGAAGACAAAAGACAAGCACAUCUUGGACCCCAACACAGAAGCCCACCAUCUUGUCCCCCACCUCGUGACCACUACUGAGCCUGGCUCUUCCCAGGAA